rnacentral:rRNA from 1 species
GACGAAGGGGGCUAGCGUUGUUCGGAAUUACUGGGCGUAAAGCGCGUGUAGGCGGUUAUCCAAGUCGGAUGUGAAAGCCCUGAGCUCAACUCAAGAAAUGCAUUCGGUACUGGGUGACUAGAGGACCGGAGAGGAUAGUGGAAUUCCCAGUGUAGUGGUGAAAUACGUAGAGAUUGGGAAGAACACCAGUGGCGAAGGCGGCUAUCUGGACGGUUUCUGACGCUAAGACGCGAAAGCGUGGGGAGCAAACAGGG